rnacentral:lncRNA from 1 species
UCAGCUUCAGAGGGGGCUUCUGUACCAAGAUUUUAACAUGAUUGUUUGUGGGACAAACCAGGAUUAGUGGUUUUCCAUGGCACCCUUGCUUUUUCCUAAGUUUCUCCUACUCCAAGUGAGGACCAGGUUUAUUGUCUUUCAGACCCAAGUAAACAACCAGCCUAAUGCAGAACUUGUCUCUUUCAACAAAUGUGCUGUUUCCUACUUUCCCUGGGGCAAGAAGGCAAAUCUGCAAGUUUAAUGAAGAGGAAACUGGCUCCAAGUGUUGUCACAUUGCAGAGAAGAGGCAGAACUGGGCUUUCAACCUAGGCCUAGAUGACCCCAAGUCUGUGCUUUUUC